CCUACGGGAGGCAGCAGUAGGGAAUCUUCCGCAAUGGACGAAAGUCUGACGGAGCAACGCCGCGUGAACGAUGAAGGCCUUCGGGUCGUAAAGUUCUGUUGUUAGGGAAGAACAAGUGCUAGUUGAAUAAGCUGGCACCUUGACGGUACCUAACCAGAAAGCCACGGCUAACUACGUGCCAGCAGCCGCGGUAAUACGUAGGUGGCAAGCGUUGUCCGGAAUUAUUGGGCGUAAAGCGCGCGCAGGCGGUUUCUUAAGUCUGAUGUGAAAGCCCCCGGCUCAACCGGGGAGGGUCAUUGGAAACUGGGAAACUUGAGUGCAGAAGAGGAAAGUGGAAUUCCAAGUGUAGCGGUGAAAUGCGUAGAGAUUUGGAGGAACACCAGUGGCGAAGGCGACUUUCUGGUCUGUAACUGACGCUGAGGCGCGAAAGCGUGGGGAGCAAACAGGAUUAGAUACCCUGGUAGUCCACGCUGUAAACGAUGAGUGCUAAGUGUUAGAGGGUUUCCGCCCUUUAGUGCUGAAGUUAACGCAUUAAGCACUCCGCCUGGGGAUACGGUCGCAAGACUGAAACUUAANGAAUUGACCGG
rnacentral:rRNA from 1 species